CCUANGGGGGGCAGCAGUGGGGAAUUUUGGACAAUGGGGGCAACCCUGAUCCAGCCAUGCCGCGUGCGGGAAGAAGGCCUUCGGGUUGUAAACCGCUUUUGUCCGGAAAGAAAAGGCAUCCCCUAAUACGGGGUGUCCUUGACGGUACCGGAAGAAUAAGCACCGGCUAACUACGUGCCAGCAGCCGCGGUAAUACGUAGGGUGCGAGCGUUAAUCGGAAUUACUGGGCGUAAAGCGUGCGCAGGCGGUUCGCUAAGUCUGAUGUGAAAGCCCCGGGCUCAACCUGGGAACUGCAUUGGAAACUGGCGAGCUUGAGUGUGGCAGAGGGGGGUGGAAUUCCACGUGUAGCAGUGAAAUGCGUAGAGAUGUGGAGGAACACCGAUGGCGAAGGCAGCCCCCUGGGCUAACACUGACGCUCAGGCACGAAAGCGUGGGGAGCAAACAGGAUUAGAUACCCCGNUANUC
rnacentral:rRNA from 1 species